UACGGAGGGUGCAAACGUUGCUCGGAAUCAUUGGGCGUAAAGCGCACGUAGGCGGCCUGUUAAGUCGGAUGUGAAAGCCCCGGGCUCAACCCGGGAAGUGCAUACGAAACUGGCAGGCUUGAAUAUGGAAGAGGGUCGCGGAAUUCCCGGUGUAGAGGUGAAAUUCGUAGAUAUCGGGAGGAACACCAGUGGCGAAGGCGGCGACCUGGGCCAAAAUUGACGCUGAGGUGCGAAAGCGUGGGGAGCAAACAGG
rnacentral:rRNA from 1 species